rnacentral:rRNA from 1 species
UACGUAGGGGGCAAGCGUUAUCCGGAUUUACUGGGUGUAAAGGGAGCGUAGACGGCAAGGCAAGUCUGAUGUGAAAACCCAGGGCUUAACCCUGGGACUGCAUUGGAAACUGUCUGGCUCGAGUGCCGGAGAGGUAAGCGGAAUUUCUAGUGUAGCGGUGAAAUGCGUAGAUAUUAGGAAGAACACCAGUGGCGAAGGCGGCUUACUGGACGGUAACUGACGUUGAGGCUCGAAAGCGUGGGGAGCAAACAGG